rnacentral:rRNA from 1 species
CACGUAGGGCGCAAGCGUUGUCCGGAUUAUUGGGCGUAAAGGGUGCGUAGGCGGCGCGGUAAGUCGGGUGUGAAAUCUCGGAGCUUAACUCCGAAACUGCAUUCGAUACUGCCGGGCUAGAGUCCGGAAGAGGCGAGUGGAACUCCUGGUGUAGCGGUGGAAUGCGCAGAUAUCAGGAAGAACACCAACGGCGAAGGCAGCUCGCUGGGACGGAACUGACGCUGAGGCGCGAAAGCGUGGGGAGCGAACAGG